rnacentral:lncRNA from 1 species
CUGCAUUUUUGGUCCAGGCAGGGAAGUACAGUACCCUAAGUUAACUCUCUGCUUUUCUGCCUAGGAGUGAUGAUGGGCACAAGGAGAGGGAGCCCAUCAUGGAUUUCACAGCUGUUACCUGCUGGUCUGCAAAUCUGACAUACUCGCACUGAGCUGCUUCCAAGCACAGCGAAUCUUGCGGAUCAGCAUCGACCAUGUCUGUGUUGGUUGUUUCACCUUUCCAGACAAAUCUCUGGACAAAGUCAGCUUGGAAGGGACAGAGUGCGUCUGCACAAAGAGUGAGAACGUCCUGUCCAAAGCCUAACUGCAGCUGCCUAGAACCACGGCUUCUUGCUUCUGCCACUGCACCUCAAAUAAAUGGAGAGCUCAUUGGAGAGGGAAUAUGUCAUUCUGAUGAAUGGACCAGCUACAGAGGAUGAAGAAAGUAACGCCUCACGUGAGCAAGGCUUUUCUAUGUGAGGACCGUACAGCUGCAUGUCCCCUCAGUAUUUCAGGUUCAUGGAUGCCCCCUUGGAGCCUUUGGAUGUGGAUCAGUGCCUCAUUCUGUGGGCUGCUACACUCACAACUAGCAAGGAGAACACUCCAAUCAAGCUCCCAGUCUAAAUAUCAGGUGGGAAGAAAAUGACCUGCAGUAAAAUAGCAAACUUAACAAUUCUGAAACAGCAUGCCCCUUGCAGCCAGCCACUCGUAAUCUUGAAUGUUUGCAUUUGUCAGGGAGUCAGCGGUCAAACAGAUGCAAAGCAAACCUGCCACCAGCAAGGCAGAAGGUAACCUACAGCCUUCUGGAGACUAAGGAAAUAAGGGAAAAUUUGUGAGAAGGUUGUGUCCUGAAAAACGCUGUGUGUUAGAUCUUUUCAGGACAUUCAGGUUCUUCGCUUUCAUAAGCAUGAAAACUGCCUUUGUUUCAUUGCCCUUGAAUUCAUUGCCCUGGAGCAUCUCUCCUAUGAAUAAAGACUGCAAGAGCUGAGCCUGUUCA